rnacentral:rRNA from 1 species
UCGGGGUGAGAUGAGAUGGAUUAGCGGCGGACGGGUGAGUAACACGUGAGUAACCUGCCUUAGACAUUGGGAUAGCCUCGGGAAACCGGGAUUAAUACCAAAUGAAAUCACAUAUGCACAUGCAUAAAUGAUCAAAGCUCCGGCGGUCUAAGAUGGACUCGCGUCCCAUUAGCUAGUUGGUGAGGUAACGGCCCACCAAGGCGACGAUGGGUAGCCGGCCUGAGAGGGUGAACGGCCACAUUGGAACUGAGAAACGGUCCAAACUCCUACGGGAGGCAGCAGUGGGGAAUAUUGCACAAUGGAGGGAACUCUGAUGCAGCGACGCCGCGUGAACGAAGAAGGCUUUCGAGUCGUAAAGUUCUUUUAUAUGGGAAGAUAAUGACGGUACCAUAAGAAAAAGCCCCGGCUAACUACGUGCCAGCAGCCGCGGUAAUACGUAGGGGGCUAGCGUUGUCCGGAAUCACUGGGCGUAAAGGGUUCGCAGGCGGAAAUGCAAGUCAGGUGUAAAAGGCAGUAGCUUAACUACUGUAAGCAUUUGAAACUGCAUAUCUUGAGAAGAGUAGAGGUAAGUGGAAUUUUUAGUGUAGCGGUGAAAUGCGUAGAUAUUAAAAAGAAUACCGGUGGCGAAGGCGACUUACUGGGCUCAUUCUGACGCUGAGGAACGAAAGCGUGGGUAGCAAACAGGAUUAGAUACCCUGGUAGUCCACGCUGUAAACGAUGAGUGCUAGGUAUCGGAAUAAUUCGGUGCCGCAGUUAACACAUUAAGCACUCCGCCUGGGGAGUACGUGCGCAAGCAUGAAACUCAAAGGAAUUGACGGGGACCCGCACAAGCAGCGGAGCAUGUGGUUUAAUUCGAAGCAACGCGAAGAACCUUACCAGGGCUUGACAUACUGAGGACCGGUAUAGAGAUAUACCCUCUUCUUCGGAAGCCUCAAUACAGGUGGUGCAUGGUUGUCGUCAGCUCGUGUCGUGAGAUGUUCAGUUAAGUCUGGCAACGAGCGCAACCCCUAUCUUUAGUUACCAGCAUUUCGGAUGGGGACUCUAAAGAGACUGCCGAUGAUAAAUCGGAGGAAGGUGGGGAUGACGUCAAAUCAUCAUGCCCUAUAUGCCCUGGGCUACACACGUGCUA